AGGGAAUAUUAGUAAUGGGCGAAAGCCUGAACUAGCAACGCCGCGUGUGCGAAGAAGGCCUUCGGGUUGUAAAGCACUUUUUGGGAGGAUGAGGAAGGACGGUACUCUCAGAAUAAGUCUCGGCUAACUACGUGCCAGCAGCCGCGGUGACACGUAGGAGGCGAACGUUAUCCGGAUUUACUGGGCGUAAAGCGCGUGUAGGUGGUUUGGUAAGUAGGGCGUGAAAGCUCCUGGCUCAACUGGGAGAGGCCGUUCUAAACUGCCGAACUAGAGGAUGGUAGAGGGAGGUGGAAUUCCGGGUGUAGCGGUGGAAUGCGCAGAUAUCCGGAGGAACACCAGUGGCGAAAGCGGCCUCCUGGACCAUUCCUGACACUCAGACGCGAAAGCUAGGGUAGCAAACGG
rnacentral:rRNA from 1 species